GGUGUUGGGUUCGAGACGUGACAGAAUGGUAUCAGAGCUUAGAGCUUAGGUUACGUUCAUUUGGAGAUUAUGAUAUAAGUGAUUAGGAUGUAAUAGAAUAAUAUUAGAGCAUAGAUUUAAGAUCACUAGGGAUUAUGAAGUGAUAUCGAAACUUUAUGAAUGAUCAAUAAGAUGUGACAGAGUGAUAUCAGAGAAUAUGACUUAAGAGGUAUCAAAACU
rnacentral:lncRNA from 1 species